CACAGGAAAUGAAAGUGAAAGCAUAACCUACAGUAUAAAGGAGCUUCUUGCCACCACUUGUACUAACACUACAGCACUCUGCAGAGCCACAGAUACAAAAGCAAUGGGAGGAGGUGAGUCUUGACAUGUCAUCAUUUCAGCUCCUAAAUGUUUAAUCCUUUGCAAAACUGAUUCAAAAUUGUAAUUAUUCCAACAUUAAAAAAAAGAAAAGGCGCAUUAACAUAUGUAACUUUCUCUUUAGCAUUUUCUAGUGAGCCAUGGAGGGAAGUGACAAAAGGUUACCAGGACAAUCUGGAUUUUGUGAAAUC
ensembl:lncRNA